GAACAAUGGUGGAGUAGUAGACCUAAACUCUCCAAACAGCUAUAAAACAAGAGCAGCACACCUUAUGGGCCAAUCUCUGCCUAUAUAUGCAAUGCCAGGGGUCAGUAACCUGUGGCACAUGUGCCAACAUGGACACACAGAUGGAUAAUCACGGGUAUGCAAGUAAUAGGGGAAACUCUAUACCAACAAGUCCCCUAAAUGCUUAACAACUAAUGCUCAGAAGGUUGCUGACCCCUGAUCCACAGGCUACUGUGAUUGUUUUUGUUCUUGAGUCCAUUGUGAUGUCAGCUAGCAUUGUGCUUCCUGUUUACAAGGGAAGAGUAAAAUCCAAUAUGGCUGCCAAACAAGGUAGUUCACAUGCAUUCAGCCAUCUUAAGGCAUAUAAGGAAGAGCAUUGCAAGUUUACAGUUUGGAACUGUAGAAGGGAAAAAAAAGAGAAUUUUGGUUAAAAUCAAAGGUGUGAAAAGGGGUUUUCCAGCAUCCACCGUUCAGCUUCAUUUCCCUCAGCUAUUUGGUAAGGACCUUCUGCACCUACAUCAGGGCCAUGUCUGCAUUCCAGAUUUUAGGAACCUUUGGUGCUCCAGGAGAUCAGCGCCCUACAGCGCUUUGUGUUCAAGGCUGUUGAAACAGAUUCCUGCUCCUUUCCCCACUGCAGUGUUACCAGCACGACCACAGAGAAUGUACUGUAAAUAUCACCUAUCCAAACCUCUUCCGGAGACCUUGGCCCUAUCUAUAUAUUAUCAUAAGAGGUUCUACAAGUUAGAUAUCCCACCAAUCUUUGUGAUCUGAUGUACAUAUAACCGCACCUUAAGUGAGACGUGAUCCCAAAUUCAUAACAUCAUUAGUGACAUGACGAUGACAGGGAGUAUAGAGAACUGAUCCAGGACAUUGUGGACUGAUGCCAAUGGAACUGCCUCCAGAUAAAUGCAGGAAAAACUAAGGAGCUGAUGGUGGAUUUCCGCAGGCACAAACACUCUUCAUUACCACUAGUGAAGAUUCAGGGAAAGGACACUGAGAGAGUAGAUUUUUAUGAAUACUUGGGUGUUCAUCUGAACAAUAGAGGCAGAGUAGACUCUUUUUGUUGAGGAGAUUAAGGUCUUUUAGAGUGCGGGGAGCACCACCUUUUUUGACUCUGUGGUGGACUCUGUGGUGGCCUCUGCCAUCUUCUAUGGAGUGGUCUGCUGGUGUAGCAGCAUCUCUACUGCAGACAGGAAGAGAUUGAUCAGGAAGGCCAGCUCAGUCUAGGUGAUGCCACUGGACACAGUACAGGAGGUGGAGGAAAGGAGGAUGGUAGCUAAGCUAACAUUCUUGCUGGAGAACAAACUCUUACAUCCUAAAUGUUUGAAGGAGUAAUACCGAAGGUCUUUUCUCUCUGCUGCUAUCAGAUGUUAAAAUCAGAGCUGCUCCCAGUGAACCAAUUACCAUAUUAUAAGUGCAAUUUGCUUGUUUAAAUUUUUAUUUUGUAUUAAAUAGAUUUUCUUUGCUGCUGUAACUUAGAAAAUUCCCCACUGUGGGACAAAUAAAGGUUUUAUAAAUCAAUCAAUUAAAACAUAAUGUAUAGGGUGUAUAUACAUACAAUAUUUUAGUUUAGAAGUAUUUGUUUUAUUAACCUCCAAUAUGUAGAAUUGGAUUUUAGUUAUUGGUCACUCAUAUAGUGUCCUGACAUGCUGUUCCUCUCUGUUACAUCCCACAAAUGCAAUUUCAUCCUCCUCUCCAGCAGUAGCUCAUAGCGUCAGAGACAGAUGAUGUGCCAGAGGUCGUCCAAAGAGUAAUAGAAGUUUUAUACUCUGUAGCACUGUACUCCAGCAUUAGCAGGGGUCCCUCUGGGGCUGAAUGGGGGCUGGUGGAGAUCAUCUCUGGUGCCAAACGGAAGCAGAAACGGGUCAUAGACAGAGAGCUCUGCAGCACUGGUGAUGACUCACUUGUUCAGAAGACACUGAAGUUCAAAAAAUGCUUGCUGUAUUUUCCAAUGUUGGGCUGACAAUCGGUUAAUUUUUGCUCAGUAUUUUAUUUGGAUAAAGGGAAAAAUGUUUCCCAUAUCCUUGUUGUUAAGGUCAAAGGUCAUGUGCUAGCUCACACUCUAAUGUGAACUCCAUAUUCUCCUGUAUAAUACUAUGUGGUCCGUAAAAGCGUGCAAAAGUGCAAAAUCAUCUGACAUAUUUUGGAAACUCGUCAAAUUAGACAGAUGCCAAAAUGGAGAUUGUUUGUUAUGCCUUCAAUCUCAAAAACAUAACUAAGCAAAGUAAAAAAAAAGGCUGGUCUGA